UGGGGAAUCUUGCGCAAUGGGCGAAAGCCUGACGCAGCGACGCCGCGUGGGUGAUGAAGGCCUUCGGGUCGUAAAGCCCUGUCGGGAGGGAAGAAAUCUCAUCGGCCUAAUAUGCCGAUGACUUGACGGUACCUCUUAAGGAAGCACCGGCUAACUCCGUGCCAGCAGCCGCGGUAAUACGGAGGGUGCAAGCGUUGUUCGGAAUCACUGGGCGUAAAGCGCGUGUAGGCGGCUACUUAAGUCUGAUGUGAAAGCCCUGGGCUCAACCCAGGAAGUGCAUUGGAUACUGGGUAGCUGGAGUACCGGAGAGGAGGGUGGAAUUCCUGGUGUAGCGGUGAAAUGCGUAGAUAUCAGGAGGAACACCGGUGGCGAAGGCGUCCCUCUGGCCGGAUACUGACGCUGAGACGCGAAAGCGUGGGGAGCAAACAGG
rnacentral:rRNA from 1 species